AUAAAUCAGUUUUGGUUGUGGAAGACGCUUCUCACAAUCCAAAUUCCUCCUUAGUUCUAGUUCUAUUAGGAAACGUUCGUUAAUCAAACACUGAUCAACAAGUUGCCAAGGAACGUCCUUGGGGCAUUUAGCAUCGAACAACCGUUGAUCGCAUUAAGACUUAGAGAAACCCAAUUCUAUCCUUGCCAACCGCGUGGUCAAGGCUAGGUUAUGCAACUGAUUAUAUUUAUGUGCAAACAAUUUAAGCAAUUACGGACCUAAAUCAUUCAAACAAUUUAUCACUUAAGCAAUUUAAAAGCAAUGGGCC
rnacentral:lncRNA from 1 species